AGAGUGAACGCUGGCGGCAGGCCUAACACAUGCAAGUCGAGCGGCAGCGCAGCAGUAGCAAUACUGUGGGCGGCGAGCGGCGGACGGGUGAGGAAUACAUCGGAAUCUACCUUCUUGUGGGGGAUAACGUAGGGAAACUUACGCUAAUACCGCAUAAGACCUGAGGGUGAAAGCGGGGGACCGUAAGGCCUCGCGCGAGAAGAUGAGCCGAUGUCGGAUUAGCUAGUUGGUGAGGUAAAGGCUCACCAAGGCGACGAUCCGUAGCUGGUCUGAGAGGAUGAUCGGCCACACUGGAACUGAGACACGGUCCAGACUCCGUACGGGAGGCAGCAGGUGGGGAAUAGUUAGGGACAAGUGGGCGCGAAGGCCCUGAUCCAAGGCCAGUCGCCGCGUGGUGUGAAAGAACGGCCGUUCGGGUUAGUAAAGUCGUACGUUUUUGGUUAGGGGUAAAGGAAAAGUA
rnacentral:rRNA from 1 species